GAUGAACGCUGGCGGCGUGCCUAAUACAUGCAAGUCGAGCGAACAGACGAGGAGCUUGCUCCUCUGACGUUGGCGGCGGACGGGAGAGUACCACGUGGAUAACCUACCUAUAAGACUGGGAUAACUAUGGGAAAUCGGAGCUAAUACCGGAUAAUAUAUUGAACCGGAUGGUUCAAUAGUGAAAGACGGUUUUGCUGUCGCUAAUAGAUGGAUACGCGCCGCAUUAGCUAGUUGGUGAGGUAACGGCUUACCAAGGCAACGAUGCGUAGCCGACCUGAGAGGGUGAUCGGCCACACUGGAACUGAGACACGGCCCAGACUCCUACGGGAGGCAGCAGUAGGGAAUCUUCCGCGAUGGGCGAAAGCUUGACGGAGCAACGCCGCGUGAAGGAUGAAGGUCUUCGGAUCGUAAAACGCUGUUAUUAGGGAAGAACAAAUGUGUAAGUAACCAUGCACGUAUUGACGGUACCGAAACAAAAAGCCACGGCUAACUACGUG
rnacentral:rRNA from 1 species